AUUGAACGCUGGCGGCAGGCCUAACACAUGCAAGUCGAGCGGUAGAGAGGUGCUUGCACCUCUUGAGAGCGGCGGACGGGUGAGUAAUGCCUAGGAAUCUGCCUGGUAGUGGGGGAUAACGUCCGGAAACGGACGCUAAUACCGCAUACGUCCUACGGGAGAAAGCAGGGGACCUUCGGGCCUUGCGCUAUCAGAUGAGCCUAGGUCGGAUUAGCUAGUUGGUGAGGUGAUGGCUCACCAAGGCGACGAUCCGUAACUGGUCUGAGAGGAUGAUCAGUCACACUGGAACUGAGACACGGUCCAGACUCCUACGGGAGGCAGCAGUGGGGAAUAUUGGACAAUGGGCGAAAGCCUGAUCCAGCCAUGCCGCGUGUGUGAAGAAGGUCUUCGGAUUGUAAAGCACUUUAAGUUGGGAGGAAGGGUACUUACCUAAUACGUGAGUAUUUUGACGUUACCGACAGAAUAAGCACCGGCUAACUCUGUGCCAGCAGCCGCAGUAAGAC
rnacentral:rRNA from 1 species